rnacentral:misc_RNA from 1 species
AUGGACAACCUGCUCCCACAGAUUAUGAUGAGGAUGAAGAAGAGGACGAUGAUGAGCCAGCAUCAAGGGAUUCAUGUCUAGAGGAUGAUGCUUCAGGAUCCUAAAGUUUCAAAAUCCCUUUGCAUUGGUGAUGCCUUUUCCAUUGAAGAUGUGUGGAAAUCAUAUCAAGGGAUUGAUGAUGUUUAGUUGUCUCAAAUGUCUGAACUACCCCUUGAUAAUAUGGAGCUUUUGUUUGUCCAAGAAUCUUCCCAG